UUGUGACGCUUCUCUGGAGCCCAUGCUCCCGACACUCUGCACGCUGCCUCACAAUCACCAGCAAAUGCGGUCUCCUCGUUGAGAAAAGCAAAUGGAGGAAAAGGAGGGAAUAUGGCUCUGUGGAUACCUUUCAGCCCAGUAAUACUGAUUUCGGACUUCUGGCUUCCAGAACAGCACGGACAUAGAGUCAGUGAUAGUUUGUUGCAACAGCUCUGAGAAGUGACUAUCCCAGCCCACCAGUUCACGACUGAACCCUCGGGGCCAAAGCCAGCGCCCGACACACAGCAGAUCUUCGAUACGAAAACUGCACAUCCACGUGAAUUUGGACCCUGACCUUAGAUGGUAUACAAAAAUGCUCUCAAAAUGGAUUCCAGACCUCAACGUAAGACAUGAAACUCCACAACUCUUAGAGGAAAAGUAUUCUGAUACUGGAUUUUGCAAUGAUGACUUUGAUAUGACACUAAAAACACAGGCAAAAAGUAAAAAUAGGUACACUGGAUGACAUCAAAAUCUAAAACUCUGCAUCAAAGGACCAAUUAACAGAGAGAAACGGCAACCUAUGGAAUGGGAGAGAGUAUUUGUAAAUCCUAUAUCUGAUAAGGGGUUAAUAUUCAGAAUAUAUAAAGAAUGUCUACAACUUAAUAACAG